rnacentral:rRNA from 1 species
GACGUAGGAGGCGAGCGUUGUCCGGAUUCAUUGGGCGUAAAGAGCACGCAGGCGGUUUGGCAAGUCGGAUGUGAAAACCCGAAGCUCAACUUCGGGCCUGCAUCCGAAACUGCCCGACUAGAGGUAGGUAGGGGAGAUCGGAAUUCCUGGUGUAGCGGUGAAAUGCGCAGAUAUCAGGAGGAACACCGGUAGCGGAGCGGAACGUCCGUGG